GUCUCUGUGGAGGUUAUGUCCGCUAUUUCCGCUAUUUCCGCUAUUUCCGUUAUUUCCGUUUUUUCUAUUAUUUCCGUUAUUUCCAUUAUUUCCAUUAUUUCCGUUCAUCUUCUUGACCUGUAACCUAAUUUUCUGCCGUAUGUUUCUGUCUCUUUGGAGGUUUUAUCCGUUGUUUCCAUUAUUUCCGAUAUUAUUUCCGUUAUUUCCGUUAUACUUUCCAUUAUAUCCAUUUUUUAUUCCGUUAUUUCCUUUAUUGCCUUUAUUUCCAUUAUUUCCUUUGUUGUUCUUGACCUGUCUCCUAAUUUUCUGCUGUAUGUUUCUGUCUCUCUGGAGGUUCUUUCCGUUCUUUCCGUUCUUUCCGUUCUUUCUGUAGUUGUUUUUGAAAUGUCACCUAAUUUUCUGCCCUAUGUUUCUGUCUCUGUGGAGGUUCUUUCCGUUCUUUCCGUUCGUUCCGUUCUUUCCGUUCUUUCCGUUCUUUCCGUUCUUUCCGUUCUUUCCGUUCUUUCUGUUGUUGUUUUUGAACUGUCACCUAAUUUUCUGCCGUAUGUUUCUGUCUCUCUGGAGGUUAUUUCCUUUGUUUCUGUUGUUUCAUUUGUUCCCGUUAUUUCCGUUGUUGUUCUUGACCUGUCACCUAAUUUUCUUCCAUAUGUUUCUGUCUCUGUGGAGGUUGUUUCCCUUGUUUCUGUUUUUCCGUUGUUAUCCGUUGUUUCCGUUGGUUCCGUUGUUUCUGUUGUUUCAGUUGUUUCCCUUGUUUCCAUUAUUUCAGUUAUUUCCGUUAUUUCCGUUAUUUCCGUUAUUUCUGUUAUUAUUUCCGUUAUUUCCGUUAUUAUUUCCGUUAUGUCC
rnacentral:lncRNA from 1 species